GUUUUCGUAGUGUAGUGUUUAUCACGUUCGCCUCACACGCGAAAGGCCCCCGGUUCGAACCCGGGCGAAAACA
rnacentral:tRNA from 1 species